rnacentral:rRNA from 1 species
AAUUCGCCCUUAGAGUUUGAUCCUGGCUCAGGAUGAACGCUGGCGGCGUGCCUAACACAUGCAAGUCGAACGGAGCUGCUUUGAUGAAGUUUUCGGAUGGAUUUAAAACAGCUUAGUGGCGGACGGGUGAGUAACGCGUGGGUAACCUGCCUCACACUGGGGGAUAACAGUUAGAAAUAGCUGCUAAUACCGCAUAAGCGCACAGUUCCGCAUGGAACAGUGUGAAAAACUCCGGUGGUGUGAGAUGGACCCGCGUCUGAUUAGCCAGUUGGCGGGGUAACGGCCCACCAAAGCGACGAUCAGUAGCCGGCCUGAGAGGGUGAACGGCCACAUUGGGACUGAGACACGGCCCAAACUCCUACGGGAGGCAGCAGUGGGGAAUAUUGCACAAUGGGGGAAACCCUGAUGCAGCGACGCCGCGUGAGUGAAGAAGUAUUUCGGUAUGUAAAGCUCUAUCAGCAGGGAAGAAAGUGACGGUACCUGAAUAAGAAGCCCCGGCUAACUACGUGCCAGCAGCCGCGGUAAUACGUAGGGGGCAAGCGUUAUCCGGAUUUACUGGGUGUAAAGGGAGCGUAGACGGCAAGGCAAGUCUGAAGUGAAAGCCCGGUGCUUAACGCCGGGACUGCUUUGGAGACUGUUUAGCUGGAGUGCCGGAGAGGUAAGCGGAAUUCCUAGUGUAGCGGUGAAAUGCGUAGAUAUUAGGAAGAACACCAGUGGCGAAGGCGGCUUACUGGACGGUAACUGACGUUGAGGCUCGAAAGCGUGGGGAGCAAACAGGAUUAGAUACCCUGGUAGUCCACGCCGUAAACGAUGAUUGCUAGGUGUAGGUGGGUAUGGACCCAUCGGUGCCGCAGCUAACGCAAUAAGCAAUCCACCUGGGGAGUACGUUCGCAAGAAUGAAACUCAACAUG